CCUACGGGGGGCAGCAGUGGGGAAUAUUGGACAAUGGGGGCAACCCUGAUCCAGCCAUGCCGCGUGUGUGAAGAAGGCCCUCGGGUUGUAAAGCACUUUCAGUGAGGAAGAACGCCUGGUGGUUAAUACCCAUCAGGAAAGACAUCACUCACAGAAGAAGCACCGGCUAACUCCGUGCCAGCAGCCGCGGUAAUACGGAGGGUGCGAGCGUUAAUCGGAAUUACUGGGCGUAAAGCGCGCGUAGGUGGCUUGAUAAGCCGGUUGUGGAAGCCCCGGGCUCAACCUGGGAACGGCAUCCGGAACUGUCAAGCUAGAGUGCAGGAGAGGAAGGUAGAAGUCCCGGUGUAGCGGUGAAAUGCGUAGAGAGCGGGAGGAAUACCAGUGGCGAAGGCGGCCUUCUGGACUGACACUGACACUGAGGUGCGAAAGCGUGGGUAGCAAACAGGAUUAGAUACCCGGGUAGUC
rnacentral:rRNA from 1 species